AUCAGAAGAACACAAGGGGGAGCCAAACCCUAAUUAUGAAUCAUCAAAUUAAAGGGUGAAUCGAGGCUUAAAUUUAUGAAUGAACAUGAAUUAAUGAUCACCUACACGAGGGGAUCAUGAGCGUAGGAGCCAUGUCAACAUGGACACGAGCAUGGAAGGGCAAUGGGUCAAAGGUAAAUACGGAAGCUAUGCACGAACUCGGACGCACGAGGUAAGUGAUUCCGAUUCACUUCUUAGUAUGUAUGUAGAAUUUAAUUAUUAUAAGUGUGGAAAAUUAUGCAAGGACUAUGUAAUGAAUGAGAGCAUUAAGGUAUGUGUUAUUUUAGUAUAACGAAGGAGUUAUUUAUAACGAAGGUAAACUAGUAGGACUAAACGGGUCGAAUAAUGGUAUAAAGGGAUUUAUAAGCCAUUUUCUUAUAAAUCAGCUCUUGAUGUGACCUGAGGUGAUAAAUGGAAUUACUAAGGUAGGAAUGAUUAUUGAGACUGAAAGUGGUUAGUUAUGUCAUAAAUAAACUAGUGAAAUCAAAUGGGUCGAUUAAUGACUUAAAGGAUUUAUAGGUCCUUAUCUUAUAAUUCAGCUUUUGAUGUGAGUUAGGAUGGUAAACGGAUCCGUAAUUAAAUUACGAACACGUAGAAAUAAGAAUUACGUAAAACAGAUGUCUAGAUCAAAAGUUAUGCAACUUUAAGUUAAAGUUUUUGGUUAGAAUUCAUAGUUGGGCACCAUAUGCAGCAGCAAAGGAAAACAGUCUGUCGAAAUAGGGUUGUCGUGCUACGCGACAGCAAUUCGGUUUCACCGUCGCGCACCGCGACGUCUGUCGCGCCCCGCGAGCGCUCGGGUAGGGGCUGUCGCGCCCCGCGAGGGCCAGUCAGCUGGCAAAUCUUGGUUUUUCUUGUUGAUUUCGCAACCGGACUUGAUGUUUGAAUGAUUUUCAAUGUUUCAUAACUUAUUUUAAAGCCGGUUUUUGUACAUAACAGAUAUUAUGAGCCUCCGGAUAGUGAAAGUACGGAUUUUUCUUCUUGUUAGUGAAGGAAAUGUAAAUGUAACCGAGUCUAGGAACGAAUAGGUAUGCGAGACUAUAGGUAUAGAACCUAUAUUUUGGAAGGUUGUGAUUUUGACAAGAAGCAUAGAUAUAUGUGAAUAAUAGCGGUAAGCGAUAGCUCGUAUGUAUGUGUGCGUGUACGAAUGUGAGCGUAUAUAUGUUGGUGUAUAUGUUUGUAUGCAUGUAUGAAUUAAGAAUGUAUGCAUACAUGAAUGUAAUUCGCUAUGAAUGCACGUAGGAAUUAGUAUACAUGCAUGAAUGCGAGAUGUUAUAAAUGUAUGAAAGAAUGAUUUCAUUAUGUUUGGGUAUUAACGAUUGCUAAUGGUAUGCCUUGAAGUUGGAAUGUAUGCAGGUAAAAGAUCAUCGGGUUCACGAGGUACCGAACUCGAAAACGGAACAAGAAACUAUGAGAGGAUAGUUGAAUGAAUCAAAGUUUAUAUUCUUGAAUGUUAUUUGAUAUUAAAUUAUAUGAGAAUAAAUGUCAUAAGAUUUUGUUAACGACUAAUGGUUAAGUUGUAUGGGAUGUCCACAGGUAUUGCACGGAUUUCUUCUACCAAAUGAAGAGAAGCGGGCAUGGAUCGAGUCGAGAGCAAGGACUGUACGGAAAGAACAGUCACAUAACUUUAAUUUUGUAACGCCUUAAAGUGUUAAUCGAAAGUGAAUGUUGUAUAUUUCUUUUAGUUAAUGUUUGACAUUUCAUA